rnacentral:rRNA from 1 species
UGGGGAAUUUUGGGCAAUGGGCGAAAGCCUGAUCCAGCAAUGCCGCGUGUGUGAAGAAGGCCUUCGGGUUGUAAAGCACUUUUGUCCGGAAAGAAAUCCUUGGCUCUAAUACAGUCGGGGGAUGACGGUACCGGAAGAAUAAGCACCGGCUAACUACGUGCCAGCAGCCGCGGUAAUACGUAGGGUGCAAGCGUUAAUCGGAAUUACUGGGCGUAAAGCGUGCGCAGGCGGUUUGCUAAGACCGAUGUGAAAUCCCCGGGCUCAACCUGGGAACUGCAUUGGUGACUGGCAGGCUAGAGUAUGGCAGAGGGGGGUAGAAUUCCACGUGUAGCAGUGAAAUGCGUAGAGAUGUGGAGGAAUACCGAUGGCGAAGGCAGCCCCCUGGGCCAAUACUGACGCUCAUGCACGAAAGCGUGGGGAGCAAACAGGAUUAGAUACCCUGGUAGUCCACGCCCUAAACGAUGUCAACUAGUUGUUGGGGACUUCAUUUUCCUUAGUAACGUAGCUAACGCGUGAAGUUGACCGCCUGGGGAGUACGGUCGCAAGAUU